UACGUGUAUAUUGACUGAAUAGUUUAAGUUUAAAACGCAAUUAGUUCACGUUCAAAAGAAAACUAAAUGUAGACAUGUACAUGUACUAGAUCUUCAUAUUUCAGUGUGCGUAUUUCGUAUUGUUCAGCCAAUUUUGUGUUGCUUUUGAACUUUGAUGCUUUUGACAAACACUCGUAAGUUCAAAUUAAAAUCAAAGUUGCCAUAAUAUUAAAUAGAUAGUUGUUUUCAGUAUGUGUGUACCAGUGUGUACAUAUACCACGUUCACUUUGAAUUUUUAGGGUGCUGGCACCAUAUGCAACAAUACUUUCAUCUGUGAAUACCCACUUGCUAAGCCCACCAUGAACUACGAAUGCCAAUUAAUAUGUAAGGACACCAAUGAACAGACACUUUCCAAUUAUCGUACAUCAUAUAUAUGGGUGGUCAAACUCACUGGAUGGUUUAUCAACACUCCCAUGCUCACGAACAGCCUUGCCCCAGGAAUUUUGCCCUGAAGUAACAUUGCAGUCUAUUGUCUCCCUUCUUUUUACAACCCUGGCAGCCAUGCAGGAUAGAAGCUGAUCACUUGAACUUGAAAGCAAAUUAAAAUGUCUUGGAAAAGUCAAAGAAUUUCCUCCAGUCUUACAGAGAAGUAACAGUUGAUAAAAGAAUGGUGGACACAAAGUAAAAGUGCUCUUCAACAUUUUGUUGAAGAUUUCAGUCUGAUUUGGAAUUCAUCUUGCAGUAUAUCUGGAUUUGUAUAUUUGGAUAUAAGCGUCAAAUUUUCAACUUAUUGACCAAACAGUUUUGGGCUAAAUAUUGCCAAUGCUAUUUAUUAUUAUUAUUUCCCUUCAAGAUAACAUGUCAAG